AGUUGUGUGUCAGUUGUCGAAACGAGAGGUUGUAAGGAUAAUCUAAAAUAAUUAUGAGUUUCGAGAAAGAGCAAGAAAUAUUGUAAAAACUUUGGGUAGAUUUUAUGUCUGAUGAGGAAGACGACUCAUUUCAAGCUAGUUCUUCGGACGAAUACAAUCCUAACGAAGAUCAGGAAAGUGAAUGCAGUAGUUCAGACAUCGAUACUCCUGUUAUGCGAAAAAGUGCAUUGAAUAAUACAAAACGGAGUGUUUUAGAAAGUAAUUAUUUUAUUUCAGUUACGUAUUACAGAAAUCUUCGGUUAUGAGAUAAUUGCAAGAAACUAAAUCACAUAGUUUGCCGGACAUAUCUUCACAUGAAAAGAAUGAACCAAGUGCAUCUUCAAAACGACAAAAAAGUUCAAUUCCUAGGCAGACAAAGAAAAUACACUUGCAAGAACCAGUUGAUUUGCCUGUGCCUUCAAACACAAACAUUUUGCCCGCGAUGUAAUUAGAUUCAGAAGUCCUUCUGUGGAUACAAUUUCUGAAAUAUUAGAAUAAGUGCAGGUUGAAAACACGUGAAGAGAAGUGGAUGGUGCUUCACUGAAAAAUAUCAUGUAUACUAUUACUAGGAAGGACGAAGGAAUCAAAGCUGAACUGUAUGAGAUAUUUGUGGGAAAAGAACCUUAUGACUUUUACAAAUUGUUUGUAGAGGACGAAAUCAUCGAUAUAAUAGUGAUUGAAACAAACAGGUACGCUUAUCAAUUGCAGUAAGAUACUACGCACCAAAAAUCCCGAUUAAGUCGCUGGACUGACACAAAUCGUAAAGCAAUUGAGCUCUUCAUAGCUGUGUUGCUUUGGAUGGGAUUGUGCCGCUUACUAAAGUUGUAUGAUUAUUGGAAUACCCAGAAUAUAUACAGUAUUUCUAUAAACAAGUACAUGUCGAGAAAUCGGUUCGAACUAUUACUUCGAGUAGUUCAUUUUAGUAACAACCAAGCAACUGUUUAGUCCACUGACAGAUUACAAAAAAUUAUACCACUAAUAAAUAUGCUGAGAGGCAUAUUCCAGUAUGUUCUUUUACCAAGAGAAAAUGUGUGUAUUGACGAAAGUGUAGUACCGUUUAGAGGCCGCUUAUCCUUUCGUCAAUACAUAAAGAAUAAACGACACAAAUUCGGUAUAAAACUAUAUAAAAUCUGUGUAGAGAAGGGAUAUACUUAUGAUCUUGAUGUAUACUACGGUAAAUCUAGUAAAACGUUUACUGGCUAUGAAUCAGCAAAAAUUAUCAUGAAACUUAUGAAACAAUUAUUGGAUAAAGGUCGAACACUGUAUGUGGACAAUUAUUAUACAAGUGUUGCUCUGGCACGAAAGUUAUUAGAAAGAGAUACCCACUUGGUUGAAACUCUUCGAAAUAGUAGAAAAUUGAAUCCAACAGAUGUAACACAAAAAAAAACUUUAUAAAAAUAAAGUCGGUGCGUUAUGUGUUAUAAUAAACUUUCUUUGGAAUUCACAGCGUCGAUAGCCAGAAACAAAGCUACAAGAAGUACUUGGAAAUGUGAGUCAUGUGAUAAAAAUUACUGCGUAGAGUGUUGUUUUGAUAAACAUUAUAGUUCAAUACUUUAAAAUCUCAUUAAUUUGAUUUUUUGUUCUUACUUACAUGACUUUCUAUAAUUUUACAUAGAUUUAUUUUAGUUUUUCUGUUUUUCUUCUUACUUCCGAAAUAAAUAUUUUUUUCUAUGUAA